rnacentral:rRNA from 1 species
CCGACGAUGUUCUCGGACAGACCUCGUCGGCGGCGCGCGCGCGCUGCGGCGGAAUUUUCGGAUUUCGUCGUUCGUGUCGCGUCCGUCGAACAAAGAGACCGAUCGGCGACGCUAUAGCUUUGGGUACUUUCAGGACCCGUCUUGAAACACGGACCAAGGAGUCUAGCAUGUACGCGAGUCAUUGGGAUUUUUACUAAACCUAAAGGCGCAAUGAAAGUGAAGGUCUUCCUCGCGAAGACCGUGGGAAGACGGACGGGGGCAAACGUAGGUCCGAGGUACCGCUCGAUCGCCCGUCCUGCAUUCCCGGGGCGUCUCGUUCGCAUCGCGCGAAGAGGCGCACCGCGAGCGUACACGCUGGGACCCGAAAGAUGGUGAACUAUGCCUGGUCAGGACGAAGUCAGGGGAAACCCUGAUGGAGGUCCGUAGCGAUUCU